ensembl:piRNA 21ur-6025 ncRNA
UGUUCUCUAGCUGGGACUAUG